rnacentral:rRNA from 1 species
AGAGCGAACGCUGGCGGCAGGCCUAACACAUGCAAGUCGAGCGCCCGUAGCAAUACGGGAGCGGCAGACGGGAUAGUAACACGUGGGAACGCGCCCUUCGGUUCGGAAUAACUCAGGGAAACUUGAGCUAAUACCGAAUACGCCCUUACGGGGAAAGAUUUAUUGCCGAAGGAACGGCCCGCGUCCGAUUAGCUAGUUGGUGAGGUAAUGGCUCACCAAGGCUACGAUCGGUAGCUGGUCUGAGAGGAUGACCAGCAUCACUGGGACUGAGACACGGCCCAGACUCCUACGGGAGGCAGCAGUGGGGAAUAUUGGACAAUGGGCGCAAGCCUGAUCCAGCCAUGCCGCGUGGAUGAUGAAGGCCUUAGGGUUGUAAAGUCCUUUUAACGGGGAAGAUAAUGACGGUACCCGUAGAAUAACGCCCCGGCUAACUUCGCGCCAGCAGCCGC